rnacentral:lncRNA from 1 species
GUUCACACAGCUUAUGUGAUAAAAUAUGUAUAAGCAUGUGUAUAAGAUUGGUCUAGAUAUUUUAGAUGUGUUUUGGCUAAAAAAAAGUCUUAAGUUUUUUUGGGGUUUGUUUAGCCUGAUUUUCUUGGUUAAACAGAUGAAUUUUUAACUUGAUUUUUCAGGACAGUUUAACUUAUAUUCUUUAGUUAACCCAACCGUCAAAAUUAAUUUUUUGCUAAUUCAUUAUCUUCUAGCUAUCUAAACAAGAAAAAAUAUUUUUUUUUAUCCCACUUUUUAUA